AUCUUUGUAUUCUGCAUGACCCGCAACUGAGGUAGUACUGAGACAGCUUCCAGGUAUACACAGAAUGCCCAAAAAAUCCUGUUCACUAAAUUAUGAGAUGUUGAUGGAUGAAUAAGAAGUGCUAGAAUAGCACAGGGUAGCGCCACAUAAUAUAUUGCAAAGUUAUCUUUGUCCUCCAUAUAACUAGACUUCAAUUUGAAACGGAUCAUAUAAAUAACCCACAAAGUUGUUGCCAAUGUAGCCAAGUCAAGUACGGUAUGUAUAUCAUAUUCCAUCACAAAGC
rnacentral:misc_RNA from 1 species